UCUUGCACAAUGGAGGAAACUCUGAUGCAGCGAUGCCGCGUGAGUGAAGAAGGCCUUUGGGUUGUAAAGCUCUUUUGUAGGGGAAGAUAAUGACUGUACCCUAAGAAUAAGGUCCGGCUAACUUCGUGCCAGCAGCCGCGGUAAUACGAAGGGACCUAGCGUAGUUCGGAAUUACUGGGCGUAAAGCGCGCGUAGGCCGUUGAGUUAGUUAAUUGUGAAAUCCCAAAGCUUAACUUUGGAACUGCAAUUAAAACUGCUCGACUAGAGUUUGAUAGAGGAAAGCGGAAUACAUAGUGUAGAGGUGAAAUUCGUAGAUAUUAUGUAGAACACCAGUUGCGAAGGCGGCUUUCUGGAUCAACACUGACGCUGAGGCGCGAAAGUAUGGGUAGCAAAGAGGAUUAAAUACCCG
rnacentral:rRNA from 1 species